GUGAGUGGCGGACGGGUGAGUAACACGUGGGUAACCUGCCCAUUAGAGGGGGAUAACAUUCGGAAACGGAUGCUAAUACCGCAUAGUUUCAGGAAUCGCAUGAUUCUUGAAGGAAAGGUGGCUUCGGCUACCACUAAUGGAUGGACCCGCGGCGUAUUAGCUAGUUGGUGAGGUAAUGGCUCACCAAGGCAAUGAUACGUAGCCGACCUGAGAGGGUGAUCGGCCACACUGGGACUGAGACACGGCCCAGACUCCUACGGGAGGCAGCAGUAGGGAAUCUUCCGCAAUGGACGAAAGUCUGACGGAGCAACGCCGCGUGAGUGAAGAAGGUUUUCGGAUCGUAAAACUCUGUUGUUAAAGAAGAACAAGGAUGAGAGUAACUGCUCAUCCCCUGACGGUAUUUAACCAGAAAGCCACGGCUAACUACGUGCCAGCAGCCGCGGUAAUACGUAGGUGGCAAGCGUUGUCCGGAUUUAUUGGGCGUAAAGCGAGCGCAGGCGGUUCUUUAAGUCUGAUGUGAAAGCCCCCGGCUCAACCGGGGAGGGUCAUUGGAAACUGGAGAACUUGAGUGCAGAAGAGGAGAGUGGAAUUCCACGUGUAGCGGUGAAAUGCGUAGAUAUGUGGAGGAACACCAGUGGCGAAGGCGACUCUCUGGUCUGUAACUGACGCUGAGGCUCGAAAGCGUGGG
rnacentral:rRNA from 1 species